CUUUCUGUUGCAUUUUUGGAAUAAUAUGUGCCUUAGUUAUGUUUGUCUGAUCCAUAUUUCUUCUGGUUUAGAUAUCAAAAUGCCUGAAGUGGGGUAUAGAAGGAAAAUAGGGUAGAAGGUCAGAGCAAUUGAUCUUAGCCAAAAGAACAGAAAAUGCCCUAUUCAUCUCCUUCAAAUUAUAGAAUAUUACAACUGGAAGGAUGCUGAGAGACCACCUAAGCAAGCCCUGUUGGCAUCCAGAUGAAGAUGCUGAGGCUCCGAGAGGUUAAAGGGACUCCACCAGAGUCACACGGAAUAAGACACAGUGAAGAGCCUCCGUGCCAUGGCUGGAAGAGGAUGCCAUCCUCACUGCAGAAACGUUGGGGAAUUUGUGCUAGACUAGAGCAGGCAGCGCGCGUGGGAGAAGAGCUCCAGGACGUCCUGACCCUCCUUCUCCCCAGGAAGCAGAGUCCUAGAAUCAUUGAUGGAGAGCCUGGAUCCUGCUACUGUCUCCUAAUUAGGAAGAACAGAAAUGAAAGCUUAAUAAGAUAUUUGGGAAAAUAGCCAUGCAAAAGCAUGGAGAGGCC
rnacentral:lncRNA from 1 species